UCUUCCCCACUCCCCUUCGCCGGUCCCACGUCCCUCCCGGCCACGGCCAAAUCCAAGCCCUCGCAGCCCCUCGCCCACCUCGCUACCAGUCCAGCCAAAUCCCCGUCGCCCAGCGCGCCCCGAACUCCUCCCACAACCAGCACGCUCUCCAACCGACAGCGCACCCCGCGGCCACGGCAGGUUCCGGCCACCACCACGCCUCGGCGGGGUUUCCGCCACCGGAUCUAGCCGCAAAACGACCAUCGGUGCAGCCGACACCCACCGCCCACCGCCGCCACCCCUUCCUCCCCAUCACUCCAUCUCAGAGGAGCCUCCUCGGGCGGGUCGUGAGCAGCAGCUCCUCCAUUCCCUACACAGCUUCCCCUGAAGUCAUGUCGCCCAGCGCGCCCCAAUCCCCUACAACUGCCAGCGCAUCCUGCGGCGAUGGCGGGAUCCGGUUGCCCCUGCCCCUCAGUCGUGCAGUACAGCGCUCAGAGUUCCUUAACGCGAUACCUCCGGCUCAGUGUCAUGGCCGGCGGGCACGGUCUCGUUAAGAGCAUGGUCCAGAACCGUGGCUGCGAGCUGGCCGCGACCAAGACGGAAGUCGUGGUGAGGACGGGUCUAGCCGCUGUUUCGUCCGCCCUGUUCCACCGAUGCCGGCCCUCAUGCUUGUUGAAGGCCUAGUACAGUUCCGGCGGCACUCCUUUCUAUCAUGCAUCCAUGGUGGGACAACACGGCCAUGCUCCUCUCCAUACGCUUGGCGUGAACCAUCGUCGCUCGGCCACCUUCCCCUUCGGGCGCGACCGGCGCAACAACAAACGACGGGUCCAUGUUCGGCUUUGGUGGCUCACGUGUCGGCCGUUGUUGUACAUCCGGUGGUCCGAUGCAGCUCAGUCCCUCGUGACAAGCAGUUCCAGCAGCGUUGUUGUGGAGGUAGUUGACUCCAGCCAUCGCACGUGUGCAGUUCGGUUGGCGUAGGCAUGUGAUUCAACUAGCGUGCAUGCAGUUCAGCUUGCACAUGUGUGCGUUUUAGCCACCUUAAAAAGCAAAUGUGUUUUGGUGUGGUACCGCGCAUGGGAGUAUCCCGUUGAGUUCGGCUAGAAUAGCAUUGUGGUUAAGAGUUUAGUUUGUCACAUUUGUAGGGCAGGGCAGUCUAAUAUUUGGGUGUGUUAAUUUGUUUAAAGAAGACAAGGGAAAGUAGGUCACUCCAAUUUGUGUAGCAACUCAUAUAUGAAGUGCAAUUUAUUUCUAUGUGUUUUAAAAA